rnacentral:rRNA from 1 species
CAGCCGCCGCGGUAAUACGAAGGGGGCUAGCGUUGCUCGGAAUGACUGGGCGUAAAGGGCGCGUAGGCGGUUUGUACAGCUGGAUGUGAAAUUCCUGGGCUUAACCUGGGGGCUGCAUUCAAUACGUGCAGGCUUGAGUGGGGAAGAGGGUCGUGGAAUUCCCAGUGUAGAGGUGAAAUUCGUAGAUAUUGGGAAGAACACCGGUGGCGAAGGCGGCGACCUGGUCCAUAACUGACGCUGAGGCGCGAAAGCGUGGGGAGCAAACAGGAUUAGAUACCCCAGUAGUCCCUGUCUCUUAUAC